rnacentral:tRNA from 1 species
CGGGAUGUGGCUCAGUCUGGCUAGAGCGCAGCGUUCGGGUCGCUGAAGUCGCAGGUUCGAAUCCUGCCAUCCCGACCA